rnacentral:rRNA from 1 species
UACGUAGGCAGCAAGCGUUGUUCGGAGUUACUGGGCGUAAAGGGUGCGUAGGCGGCCGUGUAAGUGUGGUGUGAAAUCUCCCCGGCUUAACUGGGAGGGUGCGCUACAGACUGCAUGGCUAGAGUGUGGGAGAGGAAAGUGGAAUUCCUGGUGUAGCGGUGAAAUGCGUAGAUAUCAGGAGGAACACCGGUGGUGUAAACGGCUUUCUGGACCAUAACUGACGCUGAUGCACGAAAAGCGUGGGUAGCAAACAGG